rnacentral:lncRNA from 1 species
GCCCGCUCGCACCGGCUCUGCUGCCCGGCCCGCGCCGCCCCCCCGCGCUCACAGCCGGGCUCUCCGCCGCACCGGGGCGGAGCCGCCCACACGCCGUUCCUGAGCCUGCAGCGACACCGUGCGCUGCUCCGCCGCCUCACACGCUCCGACACCGCGCCUCUGACUCCGCUCCCUCAUGGUCGUCUCCUGUGCCAUCUCUUCCUCUGUCCGCUUCUUAUUUUUCAUAUUUCCUUUUCUUUAUCUCUUGCUAUUUGCUUGCAUAGACUUUCCGUCCUUUCUUCUUCCAUUAUUUCUCUCGUUUUCAUUGGUUUGCAUUUCCCUUCUCUUUCCUACUCUUUCCAUUAUAGUCUUCCUAUUCUUUUCUAUUCUUAUGUCUCCUCUUCGCUAUCCUUUUCAUUUUUUGGCCUGCCCUAAUCUUUAAGCCAUCUUCACUUCCUUUCUAAUCUUCGCUCUUCUUCACCCCCCUGGCAAUUCGCCCGUUCCCUCCUGCGACGCGUCAGGCCAUCAUUGUUGGAGUUAUCAGCGCUAAUUAUGUUAUAUCUGCAGUAAUUUUAGUAUAUCAGCGUAGGGGCGCGGUGAAGCAACCGGGGGAACGGAUCCAUCUCUGCUCUAAACAUAAGGUCGGUUGUUGCUUUAUCUUCCUUCUUUUUUGUGCCGUUCUCUUCCUUCUUUACUUCCUUGUUCCCUUUCUCUCUUGCUUUUUACUUGUAUAGUCACCUUCCUUGAUAGAUCCUUUUCUCCUUCAUUAUCUUUUGCUAUUAUUUAUCUUUUUUUCUUUAUUUCCCUUCUAUUUCGUAAUUCUUUUUUCUUUAUAUCUUCUUCAUGCUCCUCACUGUUAUAUUUUUUACAUCUUCCUUCUCAUUUUCUUUCCUUAUCUCUUAUGUGCUUCUAUUUCCUUUACUAAUAUUCCUUCCAAAUGUUCAGAUAAUAUUCUCCAUGAACAUAUCUUUCGGAAAAUGUUCUCGUUCCUCUUCCUUGCAAUCAUUGCCUCCAUUGCUUCUUUUAUUCCAUUUCUUCUUUGUAUUUUUUCUUUUCUUGUUUUAUUUUUUUUUCCCUUUGCUUUUUCUUUUCACGUUGUGCAGUCAUUUCCCUCCACUUGUCAGUUGCUUCCUUACUUGUAUCAACUAUUGGGGGUUUUUUUUCCCAUUUAAGGAAAUAUUUUUCAAACAGCUACACCACAAAGUCAUGAAGCACAGACAUUCCCUUUAG